UAAGAGCCAUUUCAAAUUGUGUGUGAGAG
rnacentral:piRNA from 1 species